rnacentral:rRNA from 1 species
CCAGACUCCUACGGGAGGCAGCAGUGGGGAAUAUUGCACAAUGGGGGAAACCCUGAUGCAGCGACGCCGCGUGAGUGAAGAAGUAAUUCGUUAUGUAAAGCUCUAUCAGCAGGGAAGAAAAUGGCGGUACCUGAGUAAGAAGCCCCGGCUAACUACGUGCCAGCAGCCGCGGUAAUACGUAGGGGGCAAGCGUUAUCCGGAUUUACUGGGUGGAAAGGGAGCGUAGACGGCUGUGCAAGCCAGAUGUGAAAGCCCGGGGCUCAACCCCGGGACUGCAUUUGGAACUGCGUGGCUUGAGUGUCGGAGAGGCAGGCGGAAUUCCUAGUGUAGCGGUGAAAUGCGUAGAUAUUAGGAGGAACACCAGUGGCGAAGGCGGCCUGCUGGACGAUGACUGACGUUGAGGCUCGAAAGCGUGGGGAGCAAACAGGAUUAGAUACCCCCGUAA